AAAAACUAAAUAGUAUAAGUGAUCUAAAAAAUAAUAAUAAUUGUAGGUGGUGGUGCGAACAUAAUAUUCCCACAAAGAAAUUACUGAACAUUUCUGGCAUCUGGUGGUAAACUGGAUAUACCAGGGAAUGAAGCUGCUGAGUCGAUUUUUUAAGAUGGCGACACAGCUCGUGUCAACAGAUCCCCUCCCUCCGACAGGGGGAGCCUUCACUGUCACUGUUUGUGUACAAACGCAACGCUUCUGGGUCUCUUUUUUUUCUGAGCUAGUACUUUCAUACAGCAAAUGAACACAAAUAUAGGCUACCUUGAGCACUUCAGUCAAUCAAGUUUUUUUUCAGAAGCUACUGCUAAAUAUGUCAAAAUGUGAGCUAUUGGUCAUUCAUGAUAAUCCUUUAACAUCCCAGUUAAAAAUGUCAAAGUCAAAUACUUAGGUAUGUUUAUGAGGAUGGGUCAUUUAGAACAUUUCGAUGUUUAUUAAACUUUGGAUAAUUGUAAAUUAAUAAUGAAUACUUGGCUGCAGAGAGACACUGGAAUAAUUUUAUUGACAAAAGUAGGCUAGAGAAUCUUAGAUUCAUCUAUUCAUGUUUCUCUUAACAUUUAUUAAUUUAGCUGAUGCUUAGGCUAUAUCCAAAGUGACUUACAACUCUUUAGCUGUUUCUGCAAAAAAGAUAAAGGCAGCUAACAAAUUAAACUUUGAUUUUUUUUUAUGUGGAAAAUGAAGAGUCAUAUACAUAAAGCGAUAUGAUUAAAGAUUAUGAAGAAGGUGGUCUUAAAACGAUUGACUUUGAUAUUAUGAAUGGGGUCACUUAGAUAGGAAUUGCAGUCUUUCAUUAAUGAUCCGUCCUCUUUCUGGUUUGAGAUUACUUCUAUCAUACUCAGUAAAUGUGGUGGCAUAUUUGUUUUUUGUUUUUUGCUGCAAUGUGACUGAACUUUCCAAACUCCCUGUAAAACUUUCUGCUUUCCAUCAACAAGUUUUAUUAUAUUGGAAAUUGAUUUUCAAGCAUAAUUAUAGCCCUCAUAAUAUGUCAAUCUGGAACAACAGAUGUAUAACUGUGAACAGAAAAUCUUUGUUUAUUGAUGAGUGGUGGCAGAAAGGCAUGGUCAGGUGCAAUGGACAAUGUUGGAAAUAUAUUAAACCAUAUACAAUUUAAGCUGCUAAAAUGUAUGAAAAAUACAUUAAGAAUAUUCCAUUACCGAUGGUUAAAGUAGUAAGUGAACAUUUGAAAUAUUUACCUAAACUACAAGGACUUAUUAUAGAAAAUAUAAGCUUUGUUGACAGAAAUUGUUCUAACAAAUUCUUAAGAGACUGUUUAGUACAUCAAUGUUUCCCUAGACCAGUAUUGAGAAAUUAUAUUUUUCGUCAUUAUAAAAAGGAAGAAGUGUGUAAAAUUAGGACAAAUUUUCUUGUUAAUCCUAAAUGUAAAGAGGUGCACUUUAAAAUUUAAAAUCAUAUCCAACAAAAGAAUUUUUAAGAAUAAGAUUUAAUGUUGGGGAUUCAAAUUUAUGUCAAACAUGCAAUGAUAGAAACAGUUGAAAACUUGUUUAUUCAUUGCAUGUUAAACAAAUUUUGUAAUGAUGCGUUGAGCUGGAUGCAACGAAAACUACCUGUAAAGCUGAUACUGUUUUGGGAAUUUGUUAAGUUUGGACUAUUAAUUAAAGAUAAAAAGUUA